rnacentral:tRNA from 1 species
GGGGAUAUAGCUCAGCUGGGAGAGCGCCUGCCUUGCACGCAGGAGGUCAGCGGUUCGAUCCCGCUUAUCUCCACCAAAU